GGGGGGAGGCCGGAUCCUGGGCUGUGUCCCGGCGCCCUGUGCUCCUGGAGUCGCGCUCUUGGCCGCGCAGCUCCCU
rnacentral:pre_miRNA from 1 species